rnacentral:lncRNA from 1 species
CUGAAAACACCAUCGAGUGCACCCAUCAAAAGUUCAUGCAAAGAAGUGCGUAUGUACCUCAAUAAUCAUGGGAAAUGUGGUGUGUGAGGAACCUGUGGUGCAUAAGGAUACAGGGUGAUACUGCCGAGGCCAGGAGAAGUAUAGUCUUGCCCGAUACCUUCCAGGGUGUUUGUGGAAGAAUAAGAGUUUGAUCUGUAUAACUGAGUUGGAUCCAGAUCUUAGACCACAUUUCAGCUCACCACCUGAACACCCCACUUCUGUAUUAUAAUGCAAUGAAAAUAAAAUAUUGGUGAGUUCA